GGCGCGGUAGCAAAGUGGUUAUGCAGCGGAUUGCAAAUCCGUCUACGUCGGUUCGAUUCCGGCCCGCGCCUCCA
rnacentral:tRNA from 1 species